UACUGGGCUUAAAGAGUUCGUAGGUGGUUAAAAAAGUUGGUGGUGAAAUCCCAGAGCUUAACUCUGGAACUGCCAUCAAAACUUUUUAGCUAGAGUAUGAUAGAGGAAAGCAGAAUUUCUAGUGUAGAGGUGAAAUUCGUAGAUAUUAGAAAGAAUACCAAUUGCGAAGGCAGCUUUCUGGAUCAUUACUGACACUGAGGAACGAAAGCAUGGGUAGCGAAGAGGAUUAGAUACCCUCGUAGUCCAUGCCGUAAACGAUGUGUGUUAGACGUUGGAAAUUUAUUUUCAGUGUCGCAGCGAAAGCAAUAAACACACCGCCUGGGGAGUACGACCGCAAGGUUAAAACUCAAAUGAAUUGACGGGGACCCGCACAAGUAGUGGAGCAUGUGGUUUAAUUCGAAGAUACGCGCAGAACCUUACCAACACUUGACAUGUUCGUCGCGACUUUAAGAGAUUAAAGUUUUCGGUUCGGCCGGACGAAACACAGGUGCUGCAUGGCUGUCGUCAGCUCGUGUCGUGAGAUGUUGGGUUAAGUCCCGCAACGAGCGCAACCCUCACUUUUAGUUGCCAUCAUUUAGUUGGGCACUCUGAAAGAACUGCCAGUGAUAAGCUGGAGGAAGGUGGGGAUGACGUCAAGUCCUCAUGGCCCUUACGUGUUGGGCUACACACGUGCUACAAUGGCAUUUACAAUAGGAAGCAAGACGGCGACGUUUAGCAAAUCCUAAAAAAAUGCCUCAGUUCGGAUUGUACUCUGCAACUCGAGUACAUGAAGCUGGAAUUACUAGUAAUCGCGGAUCAGCGCGCCGCGGUGAAUACGUUCCCGGGUCUUGUACACACCGCCCGUCACACCAUGGGAGUUGGUUCUACCUUAAGGCAAAGGUUAAAAACUUUGACCACGGUAUAGUCAGCGACUGGGGUGAAGUCGUAACAAGGUAACCGUA
rnacentral:rRNA from 1 species